rnacentral:lncRNA from 1 species
CCGAUUGUCAUCUUUGGAUAUACGAUGGAGAGAAUGCUUGAGCAAUAUCAUAAUAUCAAAUGAAAUAGUAAUCAAUUUUAACAUAUUUGGUAUGCUCACGAGAUUUUAGAUAUUUAAAUAACACUUCAACUAUCACAAUAAAGAGGCGCAGGUGUGUCUGACAAUAAACCCCAUGCUAGUAAGUAGGUAUUGCACCUAAAUAACCUUUGCAUUGGUUUCUCUGUCUCAGCACUCGAGUGGGAGUCUGUAUGGUGUUUCUUAGCCUUCCAAUAUACAAUAGGAUCUCCCAAGAAGACAGAAGCU